GCUUAUAUGUACAACUUAUACUAUGGUAAAGUCAUUUCAAUGGCAACUAACAUUAUCUGAAUAAGUAAGAUGUUUUAUAUACUUCCUGUGCUGCCAAAGUUAAAAAACAAGGUCUCCACUCCCAUGCAUAUUUACAGUGAAUGUAUUUUCUGAGCUUAAACUAUACUUCUAGGCACUUUGUUGGGUCCUUGAAACAAGUGCAAAAGACAUUUUCAUAUUUCAGAAUUAUUUAACUGUGAUGGAGGCAUGUCCACCUAACCUUCAAUUGGAAGUGAUUAAUUUGCUUUGUAAUGACAUGCUAAAAGGCAAAUAUCGAGAUGAAUCUAGUGGAAUUCUAUAAAUGCCUUCCAAGCAAUAAAUAUGCACAAAUUAAAAGCAUAUGCUAUGGGUCGAGAUCAGUACUGGCAACACCUAUCUAUGAAAGACAUUUUUAAUACUGAAACGGGGGAAGUCUCACUAUACAUCACCAUUAACAGAUAAACAUUUGCAACUGAUUGUGAUUAUUUGAACCCCAACUUUGCAAAAUGUUAUCCUCUAAGGGCUCCAGUCUUCUCUUCAGCAGACCUGUAUCCCAAAAAACUGCAGUCAAUAUUAUUACUAUCUUUAAAUUUUAUCAAUAUAAAAUUUGUGAAAAUUUGUUUUCUUUCUUGUUAUUUUGAAUUACCUGCACAGUAUCAAUUUUGUCUUUGGCCCACAAAGCCUAAAAUACUUACUCUCAGGCCCUUUUCAGAAAAGUUUGUUAAUUUCUACUCUACAGCACAUAAAAAGAAUGAAGAACUAAAUCCAACAACAUAGAUAAAUUUCACAAACAUAGUAAAGAUCAAAAGAAGCCAGAUCCAAAAAAAAAAAAAAUCUACAAUAUGAGUCUUUAUAAAUUUCAAAAUCAACAUAAACUAUGGAGUUGAGGAAUGCUACUUAGGAGAUAAAGAUGUAAAGAAAAGCAAGGAAAUGAUCACUAUAUAAACCAAAGAAAUCAGAAUAAUGAUUACUUUUAGAGGGCUGUGAUUUCAAUAGAGUGAGUGGGAGCUUAUGGGAUUUCUUGACCCAUGUGGUAUUUACACAGAUGAGUACCUCACAUCAAUUCAUUAAGCUGCACACUGAUUUUCUAUACUCUUUUAUAUGGGGUGUAUUCUACAGUUCAGAGUUAGAAAUAUCUAUGUAUAUAUACAAACAUGUACAUACAUGCAUUAUGCCUGCAACACACACAGUAUGUUCCUGGAAAGAACAAGAACUUGGUGAAUAGUUGUUGCUAAGCAUGGAACUAGAAGUCAGUCUGAGGUGGGGGAAGAGAUUUACUUUCCUCACAUUUAUGACCUUGUGUAGUUUGAAUUUCUUUUAUGAUGUAUACAUAUUAAGUUUUCAAUUGUAAUCCAGUGCUAGGGUUUGGAAACUGAGGCCCUGUUAGGAAAUGUUUGGAUCACGGGGCCCAUAAGCGGCAGAGAUGGGAUAUAUCUGGGACUGUGGCUUCAGACCCAGGGCUCCAUGUAAUUGUAUCACAGUAAAUUUUUGGAUGGAUUGAUCUGAUAAUGAUUACUUCUAAAAAGAUGACAUAACCAAACAUUUGUGUUGUGUUUGUUUGUUUGUUUUUUACAGACUAUAUGGAUCAUGAUCUUCUUAAAAAGAAGCUGCACAAAUCAUCGUGCAGCAUUCAGCCGUCUGUGCUUCUCCUGAGAUGUGCAGCUCUUCUGGGCUUGUCAGUGUGUGACGCUUGAGGAAACAAACUUAUUUUCUUUAAACUCCCCAAAUUUAAUUUUCAGCAAUAAUAAUCAAAUGAAAUAGCUUUAUUCUCUUUGGUGUUUCCCAGAUAGUCUACUUCAGGAGAAAGUUUUCUCAUGUCUCACUUCAACAUUUUGUUAAUAACUGUGAAGAUACGCCGGCUUAUUGAAUCAAACAAAAAUAAAUGUUACCGAAUACUUCUUAGGUGGUUUUGAUUUGCUGUUCAUAGUGCGUUGGCAUUAUCUGCUAAGGUUGAAAACGUGCAUACCCAUGACCCACCAUCUCAUUCUCCAGCAGAAAUACAUGAGCACGGACACCAACAGGCAUGACAAGAAUGCUGCAGCAGUACUAUUCAUGCUGGCCCCCAAAAUGGAAACCCAGGGGUCCGUCUGCAUAGGAAGAGAAAAGUAAACCCUGGUAUAUCAGUACAAUGGCACAUUAAAUCACCACAGAGCCUUAGAUCUGAGAAGUAUAGUCCUGCAGGGUGCUGCCAGAGAGCAAUCUGUCCAUCCUGCCUGUUGACAAGCAUCAGAGUUGAAUGGAUUCUUCCUCAUUUAAAGAUCAGGAAAGAGGGAAAAAACAAAUAAACAAAAGCAUCAACAAAUCAACAUGAGACCCACAGAAAGAACUUACAAAAGAAAAUGGAUGUUACUCUGAAAACAGAAUAAAAGCCUAUCUUAAAAAAUAUCUGAAGUUCCUGUUGUGGCUCAGUGGAAAUGAAUCUGACUAACAUCCAUGAGGAUGCAGGUUCCAUCCCUGGCCUCGCUCAGUGGGUUAAGGAUCCAGUGUUGCCGUGAGCUGUGGUGUAGGUCACAGAUGAGGCUUGGAUCCGGCAUUGCUGUGGCUGUGGGUGUAGGCCGGCAGCUGCAGCUCUGAUUCGACCCCUAGCCUAGGAACCUCGAUAUGCCGCAGGUGUGGCCCUAAGAAA
rnacentral:lncRNA from 1 species